rnacentral:rRNA from 1 species
CGUAGGGGCGGCUAGCGUUGUCCGGAAUCAUUGGGCGUAAAGAGCGUGUAGGCGGUCCGGUAAGUCCGCUGUGAAAGUCGGGGGCUCAACCCUCGAAUGCCGGUGGAUACUGUCGGGCUAGAGUGCGGAAGAGGCGAGUGGAAUUCCUGGUGUAGCGGUGAAAUGCGCAGAUAUCAGGAGGAACACCGAUGGCGAAGGCAGGUCACUGGGCCGCAACUGACGCUGAGGAGCGAAAGCAUGGGGGAGCGAACAGGG